rnacentral:rRNA from 1 species
AGAGUUUGAUCCUGGCUCAGGAUAAACGUGGCGGCGUGCCUAAUGCAUGCAAGUCGCACGAGAACUCGACUUCGGUUGGGGGACAGUGGCGGACGGGUGAGUAACACGUACGAACCUGCCCGGAAGUGGGGGACAACUUCCCGAAAGGGAAGCUAAUACCGCAUACGGUCGAGAGACCAAAGCCUUCGGGCGCUUUCGGAGGGGCGUGCGGCGGAUUAGCUUGUUGGUGUGGUAACGGCGCACCAAGGCUGUGAUCGGUAGCUGGUCUGAGAGGAUGGUCAGCCACACUGGGACUGAGACACGGCCCAGACUCCUACGGGAGGCAGCAGCAGGGAAUUUUGCGCAAUGGGCGAGAGCCUGACGCAGCAACGCCGCGUGGGGGAUGAAGGCUCUCGGGUCGUAAACCCCUUUUGCCGGGGAAGAUGAUGACGGUACCCGGCGAAUAAGCCACGGCUAACUACGUGCCAGCAGCCGCGGUAAUACGUAGGUGGCAAGCGUUGUCCGGAUUUAUUGGGCGUAAAGAGCGCGCAGGCGGUCCGUCAAGUCCGAGGUGAAAUCUCCCGGCUCAACUGGGAGGGGUCUUCGGAUACUGCCGGACUCGAGGAGAGCAGAGGUGAGUGGAAUUCUGGGUGUAGUGGUGAAAUGCGUAGAUAUCCAGAGGAACACCAGCGGCGAAGGCGGCUCACUGGGCUCCACCUGACGCUGAGGCGCGAAAGCGUGGGGAGCGAACCGGAUUAGAUACCCGGGUAGUCCACGCUGUAAACGAUGGGCACUAGGUGUGGGGGGUAUUGACCCCCUCCGUGCCGAAGCUAACGCAAUAAGUGCCCCGC